ACUAUAUUACAUGUAACAGGCGUAUUUUGCCCGAUACAAAUGCCCAAACUUGGCCCAACGAUGAGAGGAGCCCAUUACUUGGCUUUUUAUUAGGGUUUCACCUAAUGGCCGCAUUCCCCUCUUUCUCUGUCAUUUCACACUCACUCACUCACUCUCUCUCUCUCCUCUCCUUCAAUCUUCUCGUCUCCUUCAAUCUUCCCCGUACCUCUUUUUCUCUCAUACUCAGUCCCUCUCUUCUCUCCUCUCCUCCAUCAAUCUUCCCCUUCCAUUCAUGACGAAAUAGAACGAGGAGAGACAAUAAAUGGUUAAAUUGGGGGUUUCACCUCUUUCGAUCUAAACCCUCGUUCUAUUUUCCCCUUCAUCGGAGAUCCCAAACGACCUCAUACUCAUCUCACUCGUACUGCUUGUAUUCUGCAGAUGAUGAAGCAGAGGCUAUCCCUCUCUGAAUUUGAACAAUGUUAAGCGCGAGGAAGAAAAGGAUAGAUGACGAAGAAAAGGAUACCAAGUUGCAACUCUGAUGGUGGAAGAUGUAAAUUUUUUUUAUUUUUGAAGGCAAGAUGUAAAUUAUUUAAUACAGUACAAAUUUAAAGGGAAAUUACAGUAAUCUUGUUUUAUUAUUAUAACAAUCAGGAUUUGUUUUUGCUCUUUUUA